UCAUGAUGGCACACGUGUGUUUCCAACAUGUGACCCGAGGCUUUUGAUAACCUUCCGCCUCCUCGGGCACCUGCUCCAGCCGUGAAAUUAAAAUCUUUACACGGUCGCCAUGUAGCCCAAAGCUUUGAAAGUGGUUAGGUACAGGAGGCAGGUAGAGAAAGUGCAAAAUCAAAGGACAGCACAGUUUUCACAAGCCUCUCGUGUAUGUUUUUAUAUGCUUUUCCUGGAAGCAAAACAGGCCGUAAAGAUUACGAGCAACUGAACAGGCCUGCCUGAGUAAUCAAUGACAAUACAGAGGAGCAGAGGAUGAAGAGUGCGUGUGACACAGAAGAGUAGACUGACCAUCAGGAGAUGGUCUGAUGGGUGAUGGGACACGACGUGGAGGCUCCUGCUUCACAGCGACUGAAGUGGAUUUGACCUCAGGCAGGACUCUGUGUAAAUCAAAUAAAUGUAAGGAGCCAAAAUA